rnacentral:lncRNA from 1 species
GAUCUCGGCUCACUGCAGCCACAACUUCAUGGGCUCAGCUUGCUUCAGGGCGUUGUGACAGUUGUGUUGGAAGAAAAUUGGAAUUUCAGCCUUGCAGUGAGGGGAUCCGUGCUGCCACCAGAGCAGCUGAGUGCCAAUCUGCGGGAGGCGGGAGUGGAGCGAAACUGCAAACUGAGAAACAAACUUUCACAUCAGGUUUCUAAUUUUAGAGCAAAAAGUGGAAUUACUUUAAUUAUAUGACAUUUAACUAGAAAUACGAUUUGCUGGGAUUAAUUAUCUCUCUCAUUUAAAAUACCUUCUUAGUAGGUUUAAAUUAACAUAAAAAAUCAAAUUCAGCAUUUAAAUAAGGUCAAUGGGACUGCUGGAUUUAAACACAGAAUUUGAUUCAGUAUAAUUGGAUCACCGUAUUGGUUUUGACUUGGAAGGAUUAAAUGGAGGAAAUUGGAAAAGCGUGAAUUUGGGCAGAAAGAGAAAUUUUCUCUUCUUUUUCUUUCUUUCUUCUUUCACCUUCCAAGGGAGAGAAGUUUCCCCACCUUGGAGAGGAAACUACUACCCUGAUUAGGUCAGAAACAUCUCAGAUUCAUUAAUUGUCUCCGUUUUAUCACUACUUGAAUAAGAAAUAGUAAUAAAACAAAAAUAUUGUGUAA